UAUGAUUAAAACCAAAAAAGCACUAAACGGAGAAUCGUGUUGACACCAAGGACACUCAGCAAUUAAAUCGAGGAAACCAGUACUAGGAUUCCCCUCAAACACCUCCGUCUUUAUAAACCCCCACCCAGCUCGCCUGUCUCGCCAAGAAGUACUCCCUUCUCCCACUCGAACUGUAGCCAGGCCACAUCAUCCAAGGAAGAGACAAACCAAGCCAAGAUGGAGGCGCUGAAGCAGAAGGCCAAGACCACGCGCGUGUGCGCGCUGGGAGCCGUGGCGGCGAUCGCAGGCGUCCUGGACGCCUGCUUCUGGCCAGCCGGUGCGGCCGCCGGCACAGUCGGAUUCGUCACCCCCCGCGAGGAGUUGCUCGCCAAUCCGCAGCUCUACCUCCUGAUCCUGCGCGCUGCCGGAGCCAAGGCAGCGGCCGUCGCCUUCGCUUAGUAGGGAGGCGCAUCACAUGCAUGCGCAUGCAUGCAUGUCCCUUCCGUCUACUGAAGUUAGUGUUGUUUUUGUCUACUCAAAAUUUUCGGUUUGUUGACUUAUCUUAUGGAGUAUUACCAGUGUACUAGAUCUGUUGAUCUGCCUCUAGCUAGUCACUUCCGUCGACCUACAGAAGUUCAAUGUUAUCUCCUAAGAAGAUGUGUGUAUCAUGUUUUUUUGUGUGUGUGUGUGUCAAGUUAUCUUAGUGUGCUCUAUUGAUUUGCAUGUGGUCUAUGAUCUAUAUCAUUCCAAAAAUCUCAAGAUCGAAGAUGGAUACUAGUGUUUGCGUGCAGCAGAUUUGAGGGGCCUGGAACUCCUCCAGUCGAAAAACAAACGUUACGAAAAUGUACCUCUACGCACCGAUAUGUGGGCCAGAUGAUCUACUACUAGGGUUCUUUGUAAUAACUUGACUGCUAAAGAAUAGUAGGUCGGAAGUUUUAUUAAUAAAAAAAGUUGCGUAUCCAACUACUUGCACGUAAUAGCACACAGAACAUCGACCAACGCGUGCACAGCACGACGGGCAUACGUGGCUCGAGCGAGCGAGCCUGGCUCGUCAAAAAUGGCCGAUUCGGCCGUUCCCUUGCAUAUGCAGUCUCAGAGUGUUCUAAGUGUCAUGCGAGCGAGAAACAAUGGAUGCAGUCCAAACAACCAAACAAAUUGUUUUUGUGUCGCACGGCCGGACCGAGAAGCAGAUGCAGCCCAACCAACGUCCUGAGAAUUAAUACUACAGUGAGCACGAUUCUUUUGGGAGAAAAAGUGGUUUCUAAUUGGGGGUUUUCAAACAACAUCAAUUUAUCCCAGCCAAUCAAGGUGUAUCUUGGUUGAUGAGAUUACAGAUAUAAGCCUUCUAAAAAAAAAAGAGGGAGUAUAUGAUACUAUGAGUUACAUGUGUAGUAUAAUAUCAUACACCAGUAUCCAGGGCCGGUCCUGAGUUUUCGGGGGCCCGUAGCAAAACUAGAAUCCGAGGCCCCCUAAAUAUAAACAUCAAUCUAAUGCAAUUUCAACUUUGAAAAUCUUUUCUCUACAUAAACUUUGGUGCAAGUUUUAAGGUUUUUGCUUGUAAAAUCAAACCUCGUAAACUUUGACCAAGUUUAUAUGAAAAAUAUCAACAUUCAAAAUGUGAAAACAAAACAUUAGAUGCGUCAUGACUUUAGUUUUUAUAUUGUAUAAAUUUAGCAUUGUAGAUGUUAAUAUUUUUCCAUAUAAAUACGGUCAAACUUUACGAAGUUUGACUUCAAACAAUUCUUAUAUGCAGAGUAAAAAGGACCGGAGGGAGUACAUUAUAGUACAAACAAAAUAUACAAUAGGGACCAUUGAUGUUUUCUUUUAGAAAAAUGGUAUGAGCACUGCCAGCACUUUGAUCUGUAAGAUGACAACAUUAACAUUGUUUUUCUCUUUAUUGCGGUCCUAAUUAAUAAUACAACAAAAUUAACCACACCAAUGUCCUAGGAUUUAAUUACAUAGCGUAUUUUGGGCUAUGUUUUUGUAUUUCGUUUAUUGCUUUCCUCAAACUGAAAGUAAUUUCACGUUGCAAGAACAGGCAAACACUAUCUACCGUCAACCAAUAUAGUUCGGUCAAGAAGCAGAAAAGUAAAAUCUACAAAACUUUUCUUAUAUCAAGAAUUUUACAUGGUAAUAUCUAUUUACCUGGAUGGGACAGAAUAGAUGUAGGGCUCAUCCCCAAAUCGAGCCCUCAAGCCAUCCACGGAUUUCUCCCGGUGCUCCAAGGACUGUAUGACAACACUCAAGACGACCAAUGCUUUCGCCUGUUCGGCUUGAACAUACAUGGUCUACGAGCUAUGGUCUCGCAACAGUCGUACGCCGCCCCUGAAGACUUGCAUCUCGCCAAGGUAGUGGAUGGGCACGGCAAGGUCGCUCAAGACCUGCACGCGGUGUACUCUUUCGGCCCGCCGGAGGGAGCCAUGGAGUUGCCGUACCCGCAUAUCUCGAUGUAUGGCGCCCAAUGGGCCGAUGAUCAACAGCUGCCGAUGAAGGAAAAUCCGGAAGACGGUGGCUCGCAAUGGAAAUCAUGUAAUCAAGCGUCCUCGUUACAGGCAGAGUUCUCGCUGUGAAUUACGACCUUCGUUGGGCCUUUUGAUGGAGAUCGUGGAAUCAAUAACACGGCUAGUGCGUAGUUGCGUACUACUCCCUCCGAUCUUUUUUUUCUCUGCGCGUAAGCAGCAACACGGAUAGCAAGGAGGACCUGGUUGUAUCUAUUUUGGACUAAUUUGCCCCUGUGCAUGCCCGGACAGAGGGGGACUAAUUUACUUGCUGCAUGCUAUGGGAUUGGGUGAGCGCUUCGGUCUCGUUUUCUCUUCCCCAGGUGCAGGCCAUGGGCCCAUUUGCAUACGGCAGACGCGGGGUACGAUUGAAAACCAGUGCGAGAUUGAAAACCAGUGUGAGAAAAAGGCAACGCGGAGACUAAUUAGAGAAAAACGGAGAAAAGUUAUAUGCAGAGAAUUAAAACGGAGGGAGUACUACUAUAGGCAAGCAAACUUGGGGCCCCCUCAGUUUCGGGAGNNNNNNNNNNNNNNNNNNNNNNNNNNNNNNNNNNNNNNNNNNNNNNNNNNNNNNNNNNNNNNNNNNNNNNNNNNNNNNNNNNNNNNNNNNNNNNNNNNNNNNNNNNNNNNNNNNNNNNNNNNNNNNNNNNNNNNNNNNNNNNNNNNNNNNNNNNNNNNNNNNNNNNNNNNNNNNNNNNNNNNNNNNNNNNNNNNNNNNNNNNNNNNNNNNNNNNNNNNNNNNNNNNNNNNNNNNNNNNNNNNNNNNNNNNNNNNNNNNNNNNNNNNNNNNNNNNNNNNNNNNNNNNNNNNNNNNNNNNNNNNNNNNNNNNNNNNNNNNNNNNNNNNNNNUAUUGUACCUGCUCUAAAACCCGUUGGAUGAAAAUAAUUGUGACAUGAGGACAAACCAUGGCUCGAUGGUUGGGGUUGGCAGUGGCCACCCAGCCCGGCCAAGAUUGAUACUGAGAUCGACGUGGUUGUGUCACCCGGGGUAUUUUCCCUUGUAGGCACCUUACAAGUUUAGGGGCCACAAGGGUAAUUAGAAUCGUAUGGUUUUGAAAGUUUCUCAAGCCAUGAUGUGUGCACGGAUUGUACUCUCUCCAUUUCCUUUUUACUCUGCAUAUAAAAUUGUUUGAAGUCGAGCUAUGUAAGUUUGAUCAAAUUUAUAUAAAAAAAUAUAAACGUCUACAAUACUAAAACUAUAUAAUAUGAAAAUACAUUUAAUCAUGCAUCUGGUAAUAUUGAUUUCAUAUUGUGAAUGUGAUAAUUUUUAAUAUAAAUUAGUCAAACUUUAUAAAGUUUGACUUUGAUCAAAUUUCAUAUACAAACUAAAAAAAAACGGAUGGGGUAUAUCUUAGUAGGCGCAUAGCUGACGUGUGUGGUGGCGUGCAUGCGUGAGUAUACUAUGUGUUGCGCGUCAUCUAAUAACCGAGGCUUAAAAAAAUCGUGGCAUGGAUCGGCCGCUCGGUCGCGCACGCGAGAUGACAAGUCUGGAUAGUUUCAAAUGCCGCCGUGCGCGCCGUCCAACCGGCGCGAUGCACCGUUUCUCAAACGCGCCAACGAAUCGCAGUACGCAUGCCUGCGGGGCACCGGCUGCCAUCCUCCACGAGGAAAGCCCCAUUGGCGCGCGGCGCGGCGCGGUGCAGAACGUCAGAACCGCAUUGAACCAACGCUCACCCAUAUGGCCAUCACCACGCUUUCAUACUUUAUAUUUACCCUUUUUACUAUACUAUAUCGGAUAGUGCUCCUAGCUAGUGUACGCAUGCGUCGACCGAUGCUUGCUUAUCACUGAAAAAAAAAUCGAUAACUAAAACGAAAAAAAAUAUUAAACGGCGGAAUCGUGUUGAAACCAAAGCAUACUCAGCUCCACUCAGCAAUUAAAAGGAGUAACCGAGCGGAAACGAGAGUACAUGUUUUUAUAAACGAGUACAAGGAGAUUAACUGUAGUAGGUCGGGAGGUGCUUUCGCUCCCCACAGGCCACAACCACCUCCGUCUUUAUAAACCCUCACCCAGCUCGCCCUGUCUCGACAACAACUACUCCCUUCUCCCUCUCGAGCUGCAGCCAGGCGACAUCGUCCAAGCAAGAGACAACCAAGCAAAAAAAACCAACAUCUCGUCUUGAUUCGCGUCACCUCGCCUGCAUCAUCUUUGUAACUCUCUUCUAGGACACAUUGUGCUUAUCAGCUUCUCCCUGGAGUAGUGCUUCUAGUUGGUUAGCAAUCUCUUCAUAGAGUUUUGGACUAAUGAGAAAGCAAGGCUUAAUUUCUUUUUCUUUAUUACUACUUUACUACAGAUCUUUGUAAUGGUUGACACUCUGUAGUUGGUUAGCAUGCAAACGUUUCCGAAGCUCCUCUGCAAUCAACAAGUAGAUAUGAGAUAAUCAACUCCCCAGUUUCACGGCGUCGUAUAAUGUUUGCAUAACAGUGUUGUCAAUGUUUCUGGAGCGAUGAAGAAAGAUGAAAGGGUGAACACACCGCAGUCACUGGCUACUACUCUCUCCGUUCCCAAAUAUUUGUCUUUCUAGAUAUUUUAACAAGUGACUACAUACGGAGCAAGAUGAGUGAAUCUACACUCUAAAAUAUGUCUACAUACAUCCGUAUGUUGUGCCCAUUUGAAAUGCCUAGAAAGAAAAAUAUUUAGGAACGGAAGGAGUAGCAGGCUAGCAGCAUGCCACUUGUCUGCUCUGGUGACAUUAAAAUCUGUGUCUUAAUUCUUGAAUCAGUGCUUCCUUUCUGAACAUAGACUUGAGGAUUCUAGCCGUAUAUUUUUUGCUGCUCAGUCAUGUACUCAACUUCCAACAAAGGAUUUGAUCCUUUGUAUUAUUGCUCUAAUUCGUGAUCAAAAUUAACCUCGAAAUAUGUAUUUGGGCAUAUCCUGAUAUAAGUAUCUUGGGAGAACAUGGGGCUUCUCAGAGCUCAGCGAUUACUAGCCGUUCGAUCGAUUUUUUUGAUGCGUUUUCAGCCGUCAGAUCAGGCCACUGGAGGACCUCGGCCGUUGGAUCGACCCGGUAACACUGCUACAAUGAAUAGUUACCUCCCGCUGUAAUAGAUCUCGUGCCACCGCGUGUAAUUCUCGUGCCACGCCGAGGGCAUUUUAGUAAUUUCACUAUAGGGUAUAAAAUCUCACCAGCUCCCCGUAGAACCCUAGCCGCUCGCCCCGCCCUGCCGUCUCGCCCGUCCCGCCGUCUCGCCCGCCCCACCGCCCUGCCCCGCCCAACCCGUCCCGCUCGCCGUGGCCGUGGCCUAUGACCGCGGCCCCGCCGUCCCGCCCUGCCGUCUCGCCCGCCCCGCCGUCUCGCCCGCCCCACCGCCCCGUCCGUCCCGCUUGCCGUGGCCGUGGCUGAUGACCGCGGCGCAGCAAGGACCAUCCGCCUCGCCUCUCCUCCUCCCCAUAGGCCCCCAUCAAGCUCGCGCUCACUGCUCUGGGUCGCGCGCCGCCGUGCCCCCGGUCAACUCUGCAUGGGCCGCCUCCCUCCUCCUCCUUCCCAUCGGGAUCGGGCAGGAGGAGCGCAGGAAGGUCAUGGGUCACCUCCCUCAUCCUCCCCAUCGGGACCGGGCAGGAGGAUGAGCGCCCUCCCUCGUGACCGCCUCAACGGGAGAAGGGAUGCGGCCGUCGCUGCCGACGAGAACAUCGCUAGUGAGCGCGGUGGCAGCCAUCGACGACCUCGAGCGUGUGGGCGCGUUGGUGAGCGCGGCGGCGGUCGUGGCCGUGGCCGAGCUCGAGCCCUGGCGCAGCGGCGCGUUGUUGAGCACGGUGGCGGCCCGACCAUGGCCGAGCUCGAGCGUCUCAGUCUCCGAUGGCUCCUGCGUGUGCCGCUCCUGGGUGAGGUGUUUGUUCAAUUGCCGUGGUUGAUUUUCUCUGUUACUUUCGGUUUGGUCAGGGUCUCAGUGGGAUUUCAUUGCAGGUUCUGAAGAGCCACUGUUUGUUCCGUUCGUCGAGGAUUCGACCGUCCUGCCGACUACUGCUGCGUUGAGAUGUUGCAAGGCUUCGGGUCUGUGAGCUCUUCUUUUUCCUUCCUAUCUAGCGGUCUAAUAUUUGUGGAAGUGUUGUUAUGUGCGGCUUCAGUAGUUUCUUAGAUGUGUUGGCUGCUCGUAUCUGGCUAAUGCUUUUGCAUAUCUAGGGUGUUGCUCGUGUAUAUUUGCUAUUGAGCUCGGUGUACUGUGCUUUGCCGUUCGUGUGGGUGUGCACGCUAGCAAACAUCCCCUGGUUGGAUUUAGUGGGUUUCUAUCCUGCCUUGUUUGUUUGCUGGUGUAUGCCUUUUCUUCCUUGGUUGAAUCCUGCUAGGGCUGGUAUUAUGUUCUCAUCUGCACAUGGAUGCUUGGUGCAUUUUUUCUUCUCGUCCAAUUGGCAUGCCUGCUGAUGUGUGUGUUGGUCUUGUGUGUCCUAUGUCAUGCUAGCGUCGUCGAUUUGCGAGGAUUGUUUGAUACAUUAUGCUCAUCAUAGUGUGAUUUCAGGAAGGUGUGGAUGCAACAAGAUAUUUGCCCUUUAGUUUAGUCUGGUACAUUUGAAUUAGUCUGCUUGGUCCGUGUUCAUUUAGUCGGCUGAUUUUGGUUGGCACCUUUUGAUUUGCUUGCUGAGAAACAUAGAGUUGUUUGUCCACUCACACAUGAAAAAAAUAUGGCUGGAUUUGUUUAUGUUGGAUUGAGGGAAGGAUAGGCUGUUCAUUGGCUUGUAUUGUUGGAUUUGGUCUCCCUAGGUUAAAUUGGAGGUUUUGAUUCAUGCUGAGAAACAAUUUCUUCGUCCCACUGUAGUGUCAUAUCAGUUUGGAUCCCUGUGUGACUUUUGUUUCAUAAAUUAGCAUUUUUGGAUAUCAAGAAUUGUAGAUUUCUAGCUCAUCUGCAGCAACAAAAGGCAACGCUUGUGUGCUAAUUAAUAAUGAUACGUUUCAUUGUUCUGGGGAGUAUUUAGAAUGUAGAAGAUGGCAGUGUACCUGAACUUUAUAUUACGUUCAGUUGACAGGCUUCACACUUUGAUAUUUUUCUUUGGACGACCACUAUCAUUGAUUAGGUGUGUGACAUUUCCUGGCUGAUGUGGUCCAAGGGCAAUUAUCAAGUGGUCGGGGUUGCGGAGGAGAAUUUGAGGUAGAAGCUCAUUUAUUUUCUGUUGCUAGCUUACAUGUAACAUCCAUAGACUUUUGUUCUUUAUAUUCUGUUCAAAUAGUCAUCGAACAUUCUUUGGUUGCAUUGCUGUAUGAAAACAUUUUGCACUGAAAUUAACUAUAUAUGCUUAUUAUUAGUUCAGCACUAAUAUUCUAAACCUGUAGUAUAAACCUAGGUGCUUUCCCCUCUAAAUUUCUUCAUGUUAGGUUUCAGAAUAAUCUCCCACCACCACCACGAUUCAUAUCUGGAGAAGCUUUGUGGAAUCCGUGGUGUUGUCCUUCUCGUACUAUGGUUGCUGGCCUAUGGGGAAUCAGGAUGGACAUUGAGCAAAGUGGCAGCAACGGGUGGCAGGUGUUGUGGCCGAGGAGCUCCAGCACACACCCACAUGUUCACUUGUUGACCUGGCAGCUCUUCACUGAGGUAGUGAGGCCUCCUCCUUCUUCCUUUUCUUUCAUCUCAACUCUUCCUGUAACCAUCUUUUGCCUGUUUUUUGGGUGCUUUUGUGUAUAGGUUUGCUGCUUUGGUUUGGCUGGGAUGUGUGCCUCCAUGGUUGGGUCGUGUGGACUGCUGGCAAGGAUGGAGAAGCAUAGGAAGGUGUCACCAUUGCAUAGAUUCUAUUAUAGCCAUGCUAGCUGCUUGGCCAUGUCAUUUUGUUCACACAGGUGUGUCCACAACAACUCUGAUAGUGCCAUGCCGGUGAGCUCAGACCCUGAUGUUUAAUUUGAUUAUCAGUACAAACUGGGGCUGGACUGAUGUGUGCUAAUGUCCUCUUGAUUGGUUUUAUGUAGGACACGGUAUCAUUAAACAAGGACUCUUUUGGCGGACUCUUUUAUCACCUGUUUCCUGGCGCUAAGUCUGCAAACGGUUCAGCUUUGCUUCAGUCCUCUCUUGAGGCCAGAGCAGUAACAUGAGAAAAAACAUCGUAUUAGCUUCUGUAUUAACAAGUGUAAUUAUGUAGUACUAUAUUUUGAUCGGUUUUGUUUCCUCUAUACUGCCAAAAUAUCAUAAUUAGACUGCAUUACAUAACAGCAAGAAUAUUGCCAUACAACUCAGAUUCAUAUAACUUGCAGUAUGUUCCAUGAUAAAUGUAUCCAACAGGGGCUGGACAUAUUUUUUUUGCUUCAUAGUUCAUUUUGAAUGAAAAUAACAAAUGGUUUCUACCUCCAUGGUUGACCUGUUUUGUCAUUGUUCUCUCCGUACAAAGGCACCAAUACCUAACAUUUAUCCUAACAGAUUCACGGGUCCAAGAAUAGGGUCAGACCGGACCGGACCUGUUGAAUCUUGAGUGACACAGAUGUCCUGUUGGUGUGAGGUGGGGAUUUUUAGUUUAGAAGAGCUUGAGACCUUGUUACAUUUCAAAGUAGCAGUUCACAAAUGGGCACCCCAUUUGGUCAUCAUGUGGGAUCAUGGGUUUAUCAUACAUGUUUUAUCUAGCACAACUAUCAAAAUUCCCUCACAGUUUGAUUUAGCAUACUAUUUAGACCCUGAUGCUCUUAAACUAACGCAUGCAAAAGCAUUUGAAAUCACACUAUUUAGUACAACAUUUUCUUCAAAAUAUCACUUUUGGAUAUCAAACUUACUUACAAUCCAAGACAAAUGAAAUAUAAAACUUAAUUGCAUCCAUUAAGAAAUAGGAGUCAAUGUAGUUUCUCAUGUACUUUUCUGCUCGAGAGGUGGUAAUGGAACAAAUAAAUAUAUCUCCACCGCAAUUCAGAAAUAUUUUUGUGUGUUCAUUUCAUGCCCAGAGUCUUGCAGGUUGUAAGUGUGUCAAUAUAUUUAUGUGGUUCCUUAUGUCUUUGUUUCAUAUCUAUUUCAGGUUUUCCUCUGUGGCCUCAAAUCCAGCUUAUCGUUGAUUCCAUAUUGAAUAAAUGUCUGCAGUCUUAGUUUGCACUCUGUUCUGCAACAUGGAAAUUUGGACUGGUCCACUUCAUCUCGAGCCGCUGGUCCACUGCUUCUCUGGUUUUAUAAAAAGGUAGAUAUUGUUUUUUCCUGGAUCAUUGGUACUUAUAGCCUUAUAGGAGGCCGAUUCUUAAAUUGGCUAAUAAGCAAGGCUUAAAUGUAGAUGAUUGUCCUUUGUCACUCUUUAGUAAUAUAGCUGACUUUUUUUCAUUUUUUGUUCAUGGCAAAGACGCCUAUGUGUGUGGGCGUGUGUGUUGCCAUCGAAUCAGGAUGAAAAGUUUGGGUCUCCUCUGAUUUAUUUACAUAUGUAUCUUCCACUACCUGAACUUUCCCUGUCCUACAGAGCAUAUACAUGCAUGUGUUGGAAGGCUGAUUAGAGACUGGUCUUUACUACCGGCUGCCCUCUAUCUGAAAUAUCAAACAUUUACUUCCUCCACCUAUUCGGAUGCCUAUGCUUGGCUGUUGUAAUUGCAGAUGGAUUUAUGAUGUUGAGCAGAUCACCAUGUUGAAGGCUGAGCAAUUAGAGACGAGUGUUAUUGCCAAAGUAAGGUGAUGAUAAAUAAUCUCAUGUUUGACUUCGUGCAUGUUCAUAUAAUAACAAUGUGAUUCGGCACGCCGAUUCCUUUCUAUGCGCUGAUUUUUGUUUCUCUCUUUAUACGUUUAAAUUUUUGAGGAAAAUAACGCUGCAUGAUUAUAUCGGUUUAACUCCAGUUCACAUUCUUACACAUAUUCCUCCUACCUUUGCUUCAUAUAAGUGUCUUGAUACACUAUUAUAACCAUUCAUGAUCUAAUCACACUAAAUAAGAGAUAAUGGGGAAGAUUCUGUCCUACCUUUGCUUCAUAUAAGUGUCUUUUCAACACCACUGUCCAAAACAGCGGGACCUAUCCAACGCAAAUGUCGAUUACUUGUGUUUGCUCUCCUAAUGAGAUAAUGGGGGAAGAUUCUGCCGCUUUUGAGGCCAUCAGGUACAUGGAGAGCGCCACAAACACUGUGGCGAAGGAUCUGAAAUACAAACGGCUGGGCAAAUUUACCGAGUGUUUGGUUAUCUAAGGCUCAGACUCGAUUAGGCAUUUGACAUGAUAGACAAGCUUGCCAAAGGUUACUUAUAUGAUGUGAGAUACAUGUCCUCCUUUUCAGAUUAGAUUGAUAGUGUGAUGGCAGAUGCCUUUCCUGCUACUUGUGCCAUGGAUAAAUCGACAAAGUUGAUGGUUAUUAUAUUGAGUUGGUGGGGCAUAAUCUUAAGGACAGAAGCUGCCACUAGCUACUGAGAUGUGCUCUGUGAACUAUUGUCGGAUUGUCCUUGCCUUCUGUAAGAGUGCCCUGCUCUAAGAAUUAUAUGAAAUUCUUUAUGUUGACUUCAUAUUAGUUGCACUAAUGCACUGCUGGAGCUUUAGCAGAACUAUAUAGGAUUCUUAUCUUGGAAUGUCGUUUGCACCCAACUGUUGUAUCUAUUUUAUGAGGAACCAUUGUCUUGGCUUACUUUUGAAACCAAAUAUAUAUUCCUACUUUGUCAUGAACUUUGAGAUUAACUGUUCUAUUGAGUAUCUUACUUUACUUGCUUUUGGUAUAUCUGAUUUUACUGCCUUUUUUAUUGCUUUAACAAAACAUGCCAUGCUACUGAUGUAACGUAUUGGGUUGAUAUAUCCUGAGUAAUCAUUCUAAUUUUCAUUUGGCAAUUGUACUAUGUUGAUUCAUUGCCGGCAAUCUUUCUAUUCCUGGUUGGCAACACUAAAUGCUUUGUUUAAACGUUUGAACAAUACGUUGGGCCAGGCACCUCGCGCCAAGGCGUGAUUCCUAUCUAGUAUAUUUGGAUAGAGGGAGUACCCGCCUCCUGGGACAUCGGCACUCCCGAGUGCCCUCCGUUCCGUGCACGCCAAGCACCGAUGGCUCCCUUGCGUGCUCCCGACCGCCCAAUCUUCCCAGACGCUCCGCAUUGUGCCUUUUUCCCACGGGGGUCCAUGAUGCAUGGGCCGCGAGCACAAUCGUGGCCACCUUGCUGCGAUGCUAUUCGUUGCGCCUACGUGUGUCAUGUCGUGCGUUACCCCGCAUCCGUCGAGUAAGCCAGGUCGGCGUGUCAGCGUCUCUCGUCUCAUGCUGGGUUGUUCAGUUCCCGCAAGCCGGGUACGCGCAUGCGCUUGGGUCGGCAUGUGACCGUCAUUCAAUUGCUAUUGGGCUUUUCGGUUUGCGCAAGCCGGAUACGCCCAUGCGUCCGGGCACCCUGUGCAUGCUUGGUUCGCGCGAGGUGAGUAUGCGUGUGCACCCAGGUCAGCCCAUGAGCAUUGCAUGGCCAAACAGGGUGAUGGAGUACUCGUCUCCAACUAGCCACAAUGAGUAGUAAUAUAGACUAGUAACAUGUGUAUGUUACUACUCUAUGUUACCACCUAUAUAGUGGGGAGUAACAUAUGUGUGGUAACAUGCAACACUUCAUUUAUUAGGCUAUAGACACAUCUUGCCUUGAUACGUGUGAGAGCAUCUCCAGCCGCGCCCCCAACAAGACCCCCCAGGCGACUUUUUUGGCCGCCGGCACCGAAAAAUCGGCCCAGUCGCGCCCCCAAAGGCCCUUUUUUCGCUGGCUCGGGUUCAAAUUGGCGCCGGCGGACCCAGGCCGAACCCGGCACGCUGGGGGCGCUUGGGGGAUCGUUUUUGGCGCGAAAAUCGGCGGGCCCUCCUUGAUAGCGACUCGGCUCUUCUCGUCGCUUCGUCGUCCUCAUCGCCUUGGUUCCCGCAGGGGAAUCAAUGCCAAAGCUGCCGCGGGCUGCCGUGCCGGUCAGCCUCCUCCAUUGAUGCCUCACGGGCGGCGCAGUGAAGACGGGGCGACGCAGGACCCUCGCCCGCCACGCGUACGCACGGCAGCCACGCGAGCGCCGCCUAUGUAAGCCGCCCCCUCCCGCACCGGUGAGCCACGCACAGACCUCGCUCUCCACCGCCGACGCCCCCGUUCCUCCCUCUCUUCUCGCCGUUCCCAGUUCACCCAAUGGCCGAGCGCUAUCCAGGCGAUGGAGCGGCGGCGAACGGCUUCGGCCGCCGCCACCUUCACGAGGACAAAGCCCGGCUUCUCUAUGAGGCCGAGUACCCGGUCCCGCCGGACAUGCGGGUGCCCGAGGCGUGGAGGAUAAGCGCCGGCGGGGUCCCGGUGCCACCGCCGCCCACCGGGGCGGCGCGUCGUGCGGAGAUCGCCCGUAUCUGUGCCUCUCUGCCGCAGGCGGCGAGAGAAGGGCCGAGGUACACCCCGACAGCACGCUGUGGGAGCCAUACUUCAGCCGCCGCCACGCCGAGCAGCUCGAGGCCACCAACGGCGUCGUGCCCUUCGGCAGGCUCAACGCCGACGGGCGCCACCGAUGGUGGGGCGUGCCGGGCCGCACGCUGGAGGCCGUCCUCAAGUACAUCGAGGGCGGCAACACGCCGAGGCUGGAGUACCCCGCUCCCCCACCUUCUCCCGCCGGCGUGGGAGCUCGUGGACGCCGAGACGCAUGGACCCGGCGUCCUCCUCCUCGUCCGGCCGCUCGUCCGGCUCUCUCUCCCUCCUCCCCAUCAAGCCGGAGCCCCAGGACGCGUCGAUCAGCCGGCGCACCCGCAGCUGCGGCGUCCGCAUCGCCGAGUCCUCCCCCACCUCUGCCCGGCUCGUCAGGCCGAAGGUGGAGUCCGGCCUCCCCGCGAAGUACGAGGCCAUAGCCCGGUGCGGCUUCUCCGACGAGGACGCCCUAAAGUGGGCGCGGGACGACUACCUCCGCGACGAGAUUGUCCGGUAGCGCCGAGCCCUGCAGGAGAUAGCCGCCCGCCAGCGUUGGCGCGAGGACGAGAACGGCGUGGUGAUCCUCGACAGCGACGAGGACGAGGACACCCCUGGACCGUCCAACCCGCCGCGCGUCGGCGACCCUGGGCAGGGGAGCAGCAGGGACGGCGGCCGCGGAGGAGGCGACGACGACGACGACGACGACAACGGCGACUACACGCAGUUCUACAUGCUCCUCGGCAUGUAGAGCUUCAGGGCGGCGGGCGGCGAGGAACAGCGAGGGCGACGGCGGGUCUAGUAGUGUUUUUUUUCUUCUUUUGUAAAAUAUUUUAUGAACUCGCUGAAGUUUGGUUAAAUUUGCGCCUUGUUUGUGCGAACGUGGGGCCGGAUUUUGUUUUAGAAAAAACAUGGGCGCGGCGACUGGGGAGCAUCACGCCCCCAACACACGGUUUAGCGCCAGUACGCCCCCAGGCAGCGAUUUUUAGCGCCUCCUGGGGGGCCAACGGCUGGAGAUGCUCUGAUGUUACUCAUAUUAAUAGUAACUAACUAUGUUACCACUUUUCUCUCUUUCUUCAUUUAUUAUUUGUCAUAUCAUUUAUUUUAUCUAAAUAUGUGUGAUGUUACUGUUUAUGUUAUUUUCACUGUGGAUAGUCUGCAAAGGGGCAUAGGCGCUCGCAAGUGCCAUCCAGGCGCGCCUCUCGUUGAUGGCUCCUUGGCACGCUCUUGACCGUCCUAUCUCUCUGGGCACUGGGCACUGGGCACUGGUCCAUGAUGCAUGGGUCGCGCUCGAGGCCAACUUUCUGCGGUGAUUUUCGUUGCGCUUGCAUGCAACGUCUCGUGCGUUGCUCCACCUGCGUCGGGUGAGCCUGGGUUGGCAUGUCAGUGUCGUUCAUCUCUUACCGGGUUGUAUGGUUCGUCAGAGCUUGGUACGCGCGUUCCGGGUCCGCAUGUCAGCGUGGUUCAUUUACUACUGGGUUGUUCAGUUCGCGUGAGGGAACAUGUGCGUGCUUGGCUUGCGCGAGACGGUUACGUGCAUGCGUCCUGGCCAGCUUUUGAGUGUUCCAUGGCCGCGUAUGCUCGGAUGGUGGACGUAGUCGAGGCGGUGGGUGGCCCCAGGGUUCACGUUCUAGAUGGAUGGGUGGCCUCGUCUUGGUUUAUCUGGGAUGGUAAGCUCCGUCUAUGGGUGCUCGGGGCGUACUUUGGCGGUUUGUCGUUAGUCGGUAAUGCAGUGCAUCCCUUGCCAUGGUCGUUGGCCUUGAAAGGGGUUGUUCCUUCGGAGCUGUGGGUGGGUGCUCGAGGUGUGCUGUGCCGGUUUGUCAUUUGUCGGCAAUGCUCGAGUUGGUGCGUCCCAUCCAAUCUCCGUUGGGUGCUCAGGUCGGGGCAUCCCAUUCCCUCAUUGCUGGGUGUGAAAGGGUCGUUAUGAAGGUGGGUUUUCGUGUGUCAAUGGAUAUAUGGGUCCCAUCGGCUUGUUUGUUUGUACUCCCUCCGUAAACUAAUAUAAGAACGUUUAGAAUAUUAAAGUAGUGAUCUAAACAUUCUUAUAUUAGUUUACAGAGGGAGGACUUUAAUAUUCUAAACGUUUUUAUAUUAGUUUACGGAGGGAGUACUUUGGAAUUGGUGGUUCUCCGUUUUGUCGCACCUGUCUGCGGGUCUUAGAGGUAUGACUGGAGUUUAUAUUGGUCUUUAUUUUUUCGCACAUGCAAUUGAGUUUUCCUCAAAUCUCAUAUUAAGGACCAAUGCAACCAUAGCACAUAAAUAUAAACUUAAUUAUGAAUAUGAAAAAUAUAAUAAUACAUUUGUUAUUUCUUCUAGGGCAUAUUUCCAACACUGGAUGUGUUAGAUCCAUUGACGAAUCCUCAACCACAAACAAAACAUGAACAAGACCGGAAUGCCAUAGAUGCUAGGUGUAUUAGCAUUGACUAGAUUACUGACUCUAGUGUAAGUGUGAGACUGUUAGAAAUAUGCCCUGGAGGCAAUAAUAAAAGUUGUUAUUGUUUAUUUGCAUGUUCAGAAUCAAGUUUAUAUUUCAAUGCUAUAAUUGCAUUCGUUUUGAAUGUAAGUCUUGGAGGAAAACCUAAUUUCAUGUGUUGUUGAUACCAAAUAAAUACCAAAUAGAGUUAGACCUCUGAACUUGCUCAUGUAUUGUUGAUGGUUCUGCUUUCAUGACCAUGUGCAUAGUUAAUGUAUAACGAGGGUGAAAACAAUAAUCAGAGCACAUUGUUAGGGUAAUAAUGGUGUUGGUUGACCCAUCAUAUGGUAUAACGCGAGAUCAUGUCGUCAAUAUGUUGUAUGUUACUCCAUAACUUGGUAAUUAUAAAGUUAACUUUCGGUAACGCAAGGAAGUAUGCCGUGGUACUAGAUAUGCAAGACUUAUACUUGCCCCUCCGGCGAUGGAUAUAUACACUCUCGGGCCACAUGGUAUUACAGUGUCUAGCAUCUCUUGACCAUGUAUUGUGACUAAGGAGUUAAUCAUGUGUAUACUGGAAUACGAUUACAAGGAAAGAGUACAAACCGGUAAUGAGGAUAACUAGGUAUAGUGAUCAAGGAGUUGAUCACAAUGAUACCAUCAAAGUCUCCCCUCAUGUUUGGUAGUAUGGAGAGGCAAGGAAAUUGCAUGUGAUAACAAAAGGUUUGUUUAAUAAAGAUCUUCAAUGUUAUGUGGGGAUUAUUGUGGGUGUCCAGAUCUCGCUAAUAAUUAUUGACUGGAAGGUGUUACAAACUUGUCCACAUUGUCUCGAACCUAUAGGGUCACACGCUUAAUGAUUAGCAACAUGUAGGAAUACUAUGCGAUAAUAGAGAACAAGAGAGAAGGGGUUCGAAAGUGUUUUCGAUAAUCUCAAAAUUGUUCCCGGAGGUCCCGAGAGUGUCCCAGUGAUAUCCGGUACUGUCUCGGGGUGUUAUGGAAGGUGAUGAAAGCUUCAAUAUGUUCCAAAAGCCUCUUGAAAAUUCUGGAAGGAUCCUAAUGCCCCCCCCUACGCAUAUAAGCAGCUUCAAGAUAUUGAGGGCAUAACAUCUUGAGAUUAAUGCGAGCACCAGUGCCAAGUACAUAACUUGAACCCUUGUGGGCUGACUCCACCACAAGGAAUCUAACCAUCUGAGCUACACCCAGUUCUCUUGUAUUGAAGGGUCAUUGUAGUCCUUAUUAGUAUCUAUAGUAUAGUAACAAAUAAGACAUCAGUGAUGAAGUACCAAAACAUGAACCUGAUGCAGAGAUACAUUGUUGUGCAAUCCGCAAAACUCUUGUCCUAGCCCUGUCACACUGUCCUUUUCCACAAACCAACACAAAUCAGAAAAUAAAUUCUAGAGAUCAGAAACUCGAGUGCCAUAACCAAAAAAAUCACCCGAGCAAUUUUUAGAAAAUCCCUUGAGCACAUUUAAAUUUGGACUUAUCGGGUGAUUAACUUUUCUUUUCUUGAGAAACGCAAUGCAGACAUAGACACUCACAUAUAUGUGUGUACACUUAUAACCCUAUAAAGACACACACACCACUGGCACUUCGGCACAUACUGUCAAACAUGUGGUUUGAUCCCUGGUGUGUUAGAAGGACAACUAUCCUCUUAACCAUCCAACUACAAGAUGGUUCUCAAGACUGGUAUAAUAAUGGAUGGGUUUACAGAAAAUAAAAAUGCGUGCUCUGCCUUGGUCUAAUCAAACGGCUCGCUAGCCUAAUAAAUCUAGAUGGAGGGAUAACCGAUCCUAUAUCCAUCUUAAAGAAUAGGUUUCAUCCUGAUGAUGAUAUAGAGCAUGUGCGUAAUCUAAAAAAACAUGUGAGAUUUUAUCUUUAAUGUCAUGCUACCAAAGAUUUACCAUCAUGGGUAAUUUCCUAAUUAGCUUCCUUAUAUUAGCCACCUUUGGAAUCCAAUAAUCUUAUUCUAAAACUUUGGAGCCUGUCUUAAAAAUCAUCCUUAUCCCCGAGGGGUCAUCUGGAUGAUAUCACGAUUUGACCACGAUUUUAUAUGGCACGUUGUUAAUGCUCCAAUUGAAUUCCUUAAAUCUACGUUAUUCGGGAAAGAGGCCUCUUCGGGAAACCUGCUGCUCAAGGCUAUAAAUAGGAGGGAACAAGACAUCCAUACCACCACACCCGUCUCUCGCAUCACAAAGUUGUUGGCCCCGUAGCACAAGAGAGUUCGUCACAAAACCAGCUGCAAAGGCUCGAUGGCCAUGGCUUCCAAGAUGGUGGGCGCCCUCUUGCUGGCCCUCCUGCUGGCGCUCACCCACAGCGACGCCCAGGUGUUGCCGACUCCCUGCUGCAACAUCAAAUGCUGUGGGUACAAUUGCUGCGGCCCCCCGGUCACAGCCGCCGCGCCCAUUUCGCCAUUCUCCGCCGCCCCGGAAGCAGGACCAGCGGGCGGCCCAGUUUCGCAGCGCGUGCCCCGCAAGGUCUUCCCCGGAAACUAGCGAUGUUCAGAUGCAUGUAGCGAUGCCCCCCGUGUCAUAUGAUUCCAUUGCAAGUGUGCUACCGGCACCUAGCUAGUUUCGCUGGGUAUUACGUAUUAUUUUUAGCUUGUAUUCAUGAUUUGUUCUGUUCCAUCGAAACAUUUCAAUUCUACAGCUAUAAAGUGUAUGCAAUGAUAAACCAUGUUCGGAACAAAAAUAAUUCAACCGUGCUUCAGAACACAUAAUCCUCCAAUUAAAUCUGCCGAACUUGAAUCAGUUAUAGCUGUUCUACUCUAGAUCGGUCCCUUGCUUGGCUGCCUUCUCGUCUCCCAGAACAAUGUUGUUUCCUAGAAAGGAGCCAUGCAUAUGUUUCCUUAUGUGGCCAAAAUUUAUGGUCGGUUUAGGAACUGCGCCUACUAAAAUUAGCUUAGGACGGGUUUUAACCUUUUUCUCUUGAAAAAAAAUAUGUUUUUGUCCCUCAAAUUUGUCGAAAGUAUAGAUCUGGUCCGUAAAAAAAUGUAGAAAUUAAACAUACAAUUUUAAAAUUUUAAUCAUGUAUAUAAAAAAGGUCAAAACAAUAUAAAAAUGUUUUAGAUAUGUACUAAAAAUGUAUAAAAUAUAAAAACAAUAGUUAUCAAAACAUAUAUCUGAAAAUGCUAUUUGAAAAAAUGUUAAACAUAUAUUAAAAAUGUUUUUGAUGUAUACGAAAAAUGUAUAAUAUGUAAAAAUAUGUAGACAUGUCUUAAAAAUAAAAACAAUAAAGAAACAAAGAAAAGGAAAACAAGAAAAUCAGAGAAAAAAAGUACAAAAAAGAACAGUGAGAUAAGAAAAUUUUAAAAAAAAGGAAAGGAACAAAAAAGCAAAGAAAAAUGAAGAAACAAAUCACUGAAAAUUGAGAAAGAACAAACAAAAUGGUAGACAACAAAGAAAAACAGAACAACAAAGAAAACCGAGAAAGAAACAAAUAAAACUGGAGUAAACCGAAGAAAAAAAGUUGAAACAGUGAAAAUAGAUGCAAAAGCAGUGAAAAACAGCCAAAAACAAAAGCAAAGAGAAACAAUAAGGAAAAAACAGCGAAACCAAAGAAAAUCGGUAAAGAAAAAAUGAAACAAAAGUAGAAGAAAAAGGCGAAAAUAUCGAAGCAAAACAACAGCGACCAAAUGAAAUGCAUGACCGAGAAAACAGCUACGACCGAAUGAACAUACUUAGCCGACCCAUACACGUGGGCGUUGUGGGCGAGGGGAGCUACCAUCUCGUUAUAAUCGAGAUAUAGCUUCCGCAAAAUUUUCUUACUAAACACUAAUAUUCCUCCAGACGUGUUGCGACCUAUUUGCUGUCCAAUAGGCUUUGUAAGUAAUUAUUCUGGUUAUAAAAGUAUACGGGAAGAUAAAGGAUACUUCUUCAUUUCGAUAAAAGUGCUCAUACACUUAUAGCUACUUGUAAUAUAAUUGAAAAUAAGUUAAAAAUAGAAAAUAUAUGAAAAUAAUAUAUAUGUUCCUUUAUUCUCAAUAAAAAUGAUUAUAUUAUAAACUUAAAAAUAUAUAUAGUUAAAUGAAGGAAAGCUCUGCUAGAUGUUUCCAUCUCUCCAAAGCAAGAACAAUAUAUGGAGAGUUUGCUGUGGUUUCCAUAUAUAUGAUGGGUCUAUAAUGUAUUGGGUUCGGAUCCUCUAGAUACCUAUGGAAUCAUACCAUUGUUAGUACUCCGAACCCAUGUUGCGUGCACUCCGUCUUACUGGACAAGGCUGUGCUGCUAGCCGGUUACUGGGUUGGGACGGAGCGGGAGGUGGGGAUCCGGAUUGACAUAAUUCCCAGGUUGACCCAUGCCGGCGGCGACGAUGAUGACACACAAGGGUGACGUUUUUCUUCUUGGAGACGUCGCUCGGACCCGCCCUGCCUUUUCCCACCUCACGGUCUCUCGGGUGAAAACCCUAAGGUGGUGACGGCGCUCUUGGCAUCGUGUCCUUCUUGACGACGUCGUCGUGAGAGCUGUGUGGUGGUGGGCACCGCUUGGGUGCGUCGACAGUUGCAGAUGUCGUGCCCCUCUUCCUCCAGGUGGUAGCUGUUACAGGGGAAACCCUAGAUCUGGGUCUCCCGGGUCGGAUGAUGACAGAGAGUUUGGUGUCGUUCUCCCUCCUGGGGGCAUCGUCUUGGAGCAGUGAUUCACUGGAGAGGCCAACAGGUGGAGCGGUGUUAAAUCGAAUGCAUUGGAGAUGGUGGGUCUCGGCGUGUGGAGCAGUGGAGUCUCAGAGUUGGACACAGUUUGAUCGACGCGCGCGGGCCGAUGGCGUUGCCUGGUGUCGUGGUGACAUCGACGAUAGAUGGGACUGGCAAGAUCUAUGCAGUGAUUCCUCCUGAAGACGGUAUGGCGGAAGAUAGCGGCGGUGGAUCCUUCAAUGCGCCUAGACCAGAUGGUAUUAAGACAUCUGGAUUAGAUUGUGUCUGUUACGCGAACAAGGCACAUGUAUAUUUGUGUAGGUGUAGCGCGCCUAGAAAAAGGCUUUGGGUUGAUCCUUGUAUUAAUUUUGUUAGACUCUGAUGAAUAAUUAAUAAAGAUGGUUGUAUGCAUCAUGAUAAUACAAAGGCCAGGGUAAUCGUUAAUUUUUUUUAAACCUGGGGCGGCUUCCCGAGCUGCCGGUGGUCAUUCUAGUGGGCACCUACGUGAUGGUGGUGCAGCUGAAGUCUCUUGCCUUGUUGCGUUGUUUGGCCUGACGUGGGUGCUUAUCACCUGGGCUUGCCUCCUAUAGGCGUCCUCGUUGCUGCCGUCUGUCUUGAACGGACAUACGGCCAGCAAGACGACCAGUAGCUGCUAGCGGCUUAGAUGUCGUAAAAUGACAUUGUCGCCUCUCCAUGGUGAAAUCAUUCAUUUCCUUGUAAACACUAAGGGCCUAUUCGGCUUGGAGAAUUUUCAUAGGGUACACAUAGGAACAAGAAUCCCGGAGAAAAAUUUCCUAUAGAUGCGUUCGGUUUGUAGGAAAUGUGUACGAAGAUUUCGUAGGAAUACUAUUCAUUUUCUGUGUUUAGGAGAAUAUUACACAUCCACUCAAAGCUUAUUUUGCGGGUAGGAACAAGGCGGGUCAAUUCCUUACCAUCCUUUAAAAUUUCUAUACCAGUCCUAAUUCCUACGUUUAUGAAAUCCAAAUCCUCCAAACCGAAUGAGCCCUAAACAAUUGGCAUCGCCGUUGUGUUAUUUGUAUUAGCUGGAUGCCACAUAACAAAAUUCCAAUCUAUCCUCCUUAAUUGCAUGAUUAAACAUCGCCGCCGCCUCCUACCUCUCCGUUUUCCCUUCCCACUAGUAGAAAAAGGGGCUUUCGUUCGGGCCUGGCCAGCCCAUUAGUCCCGGUUCUUAUACGAACCGGGACCAAUGGAUGCAUUCGUUCCGAUUCGUGAGCCCAGGUGGCCGGCCGGGGCCUCAUGGGCUUUGGUCCUAGUUCGUCUAGACCCAUUUGUCCCGGUUCUAGGCACGAAACCGGGACCAAUGGGCCUCGCUCCUGGCCCACAUCCAUUGGUCCCGGUUCCAGCCACGAACCGGGACAAAUGAUUUGCCUAUAUAUAGCCCAUCGCCUGCGAGCAGAACACACCACACUGCUCUGUUUUUUGCUAGCUGACGAGGGGAAGGCAUUUGGGUGCUCUAGCUCACCUCCUAUGCACAUUAGGUGUUCGAUGAAAUGUCCGAGCCACACCAGUUAACAUUUCUUCUCUCGAAACUCGACCUCCGAGCUUCAUUUUCCCCGAGAUUUUUCUAGGUUUAGCGGUCCGUCACGUCCCGUCCCCGUCUUCACCGCCGUUGAUCGCCCGCGCCGAUCUCGUCGCCGGCACCACUGUGGUGAGCCUCUUGUUCUUAUCUUCUUUCUGAAAGAAAAAAAAAAUUCUUACUUGAGAUAAAUACUUGUCUAAUUUUCUUACUUUUAUUAUUCCUUGUUAUUAUAUAGUGCGAUGGUUCUGGUAUCCGCCCCCCCUCGGCCCUCGUCCUGUCUAUGAUUCGGAUGUGGUAUAUAUUAUCUUUUUAUAACUAUUUGGUUCAUUUAUUGUUUAUAACAAUUAUGCCGACCAACGUGACAUAGAUUUUAUUUAUGUAGGAGGUGGUUGAACCGGAAAUUCCAACCGACCCUAUUGUUGAGAGGUUAAAUUUAGUUGAAGAAGAAAACAAUUACUUGAAGGAAAAAAUAAAAAAAAUUGAGGAGGAGAAGAUGAUAUUGGAGUUGCAUGUUGCGGAUGUCGUUGAUGAUCACAAGAUCAAGAUGGAUGCAAUGCGGUUGAAGAUUAGAAAGAUUAGAAAAUAUGACAUUCAUACCGAGGCUUGGUAUCAUUAUGUCAUUGGAUCAAUUGUUACCUUAGUUGUGAUUAUGAUCGCAUUUGUUGUUGCAUUGAAAGGUUUUACAUAGUUUCAAUGUAUGGUUUAACUAGAUGCUCUAGAGAGCUAUAUGUUGUUCAAUUUGAACUAUGUAUGUACUUUGGUUUUAAUGUGAUGAUGAACUACUAUUAAUUUGGUCACUUAUCUCUAUCCAUGUUCAUUUGUAGUGCUUUUCAAUUUCAGGGUCUUAUAGCUAAAAGAAAUAGUUGAAAAUUGAUGAUGUGGCUUUGAAUGGUGCAUUUUGAACACAGGAAAACUGUGGAGUUCAAAUAAGUUCAAAAAAAUGAAAUCCCUUUGUAGACGAGUUUCCGUAUGAAACCCUGAUACUUCGAAAGAGAUUGUCCGUUUUGUACACGAAGUGCAUCCAGUUUUUGCCGUAAGCCUCUCUACUUUCUUGCACAUGCUAUGUGGGUGAAAUGAUGAUACCAUGCCAAUUUUCAACCUUUUCAGAGUUCAUUUGUAGUGCUUUUCAAUUUCAGGGUCUUAUAGGUGAAAAAAAUCAGUAAAUGCAUGAAAAAUAACAAAUGAAGUCAGAAAGGGUUGAAAAUUGAUGAUGUGGCUUUGAAUGGGGCAUUUUGAACACAGAAAAACUAUGAAGUUCAAAUAAGUUCGAAAAAAUGAAAUCCCUUUAUAACAGACGAGUUUCCGUAUGAAACCCUGAUACUUCGAAAGAGAUUNNNNNNNNNNNNNNNNNNNNNNNNNNNNNNNNNNNNNNNNNNNNNNNNNNNNNNNNNNNNNNNNNNNNNNNNNNNNNNNNNNNNNNNNNNNNNNNNNNNNNNNNNNNNNNNNNNNNNNNNNNNNNNNNNNNNNNNNNNNNNNNNNNNNNNNNNNNNNNNNNNNNNNNNNNNNNNNNNNNNNNNNNNNNNNNNNNNNNNNNNNNNNNNNNNNNNNNNNNNNNNNNNNNNNNNNNNNNNNNNNNNNNNNNNNNNNNNNNNNNNNNNNNNNNNNNNNNNNNNNNNNNNNNNNNNNNNNNNNNNNNNNNNNNNNNNNNNNNNNNNNNNNNNNNNNNNNNNNNNNNNNNNNNNNNNNNNNNNNNNNNNNNNNNNNNNNNNNNNNNNNNNNNNNNNNNNNNNNNNNNNNNNNNNNNNNNNNNNNNNNNNNNNNNNNNNNNNNNNNNNNNNNNNNNNNNNNNNNNNNNNNNNNNNNNNNNNNNNNNNNNNNNNNNNNNNNNNNNNNNNNNNNNNNNNNNNNNNNNNNNNNNNNNNNNNNNNNNNNNNNNNNNNNNNNNNNNNNNNNNNNNNNNNNNNNNNNNNNNNNNNNNNNNNNNNNNNNNNNNNNNNNNNNNNNNNNNNNNNNNNNNNNNNNNNNNNNNNNNNNNNNNNNNNNNNNNNNNNNNNNNNNNNNNNNNNNNNNNNNNNNNNNNNNNNNNNNNNNNNNNNNNNNNNNNNNNNNNNNNNNNNNNNNNNNCAAAGUAUUUUCUGUUCAAAACAUUAUAAGAAACCUCUACUAAAAUUAUAUAAAAUUCAUGCAACUACAAUUAUCAAAGUAUUUUCUGUUCAAAAUCAUUAAAAGCAAAUAGAAUUUUCAUGAAGAACUUUUUUUGUUAGAAACUUUAAUAGCAAAAAGAAUUAUCAUAAAAUAAAAUAAAUAAGUAAUUAGAAACAAAAUAAAAUAAAAUAAAUAAAUAUUUUGUUGUAAGUAGAAACAAAACAAAAAAAGCAAAAAAGAAAACAAAAAAACUGGGAAAAAAUAAAAAAAAUUGCCACCUACUGGGCCACCACGGCCUGAAUACGACUAGAAAUCCAUCAAUGGGCCAGGAUUCAGGCCCGCAGAAGGCCCAGUAGGCCCAUCUGGCAUAGCAAUGACAAUUAGGCCCGUAAACCUGCAAUAGAGAGGAGCUCGAGAGGGGUGCGGCAGUGGGGCUUAUAAACCACUGUGCGCCCCUCUCAACUAGCGAGGUGGGACUAAACUCCCACCACCACACCGCUGUGCGCGGCCUUUGGUCCCGGUUGGUGGCACCAACCGGGACUAAAGGUGGGCAUUGGUACCGGUUCGUCCCACCAACCGGAACCAAUUCCCCCCUUUAGUACCGGUUGGUGCCACCAACCGGGANNNNNNNNNNNNNNNNNNNNNNNNNNNNNNNNNNNNNNNNNNNNNNNNNNNNNNNNNNNNNNNNNNNNNNNNNNNNNNNNNNNNNNNNNNNNNNNNNNNNNNNNNNNNNNNNNNNNNNNNNNNNNNNNNNNNNNNNNNNNNNNNNNNNNNNNNNNNNNNNNNNNNNNNNNNNNNNNNNNNNNNNNNNNNNNNNNNNNNNNNNNNNNNNNNNNNNNNNNNNNNNNNNNNNNNNNNNNNNNNNNNNNNNNNNNNNNNNNNNNNNNNNNNNNNNNNNNNNNNNNNNNNNNNNNNNNNNNNNNNNNNNNNNNNNNNNNNNNNNNNNNNNNNNNNNNNNNNNNNNNNNNNNNNNNNNGUGCGCCCCUGCCUCGACCUCGACGCCAACGCCGCCGCGCCCCUGCCCUGCCCCGACGCUGCGCCACGCCCCUGCCCUGCCGUCAACGCCGCCGCACCACUGCCCGCCGGACAGGCCGGUACUCCCUCCUCCCUCCCACCCCUCUCCUCUGUCCUUCCUUCAUGUAUGUGAUGAUGGUGAAGCUGGUUCAGUGCAAAGUUUCAGAGAAUUGCAUGUUUUCAGCCAUGUCCACAAGGUGUUUGAUGAAAUGCUAGGGCGAGCUAGGGAACUUUGUUUUAUGUGAAACUUGGCAGGAUGAUGUCUCCUUGGAUGUUGGUGAAGAUGGUCAAGUUGGUUUGAUAAAAGGAAAAACUUGUUAGUGCAAGUUUUAUUAAAAUUUAGUGCUGGACAGAAACUACAUGAUUUUUUUGGUGGACUUGCUAGAUGAAAUUGGGGCUGCCCUUCUGGACUUAAGGGUUUAGGAGGAAGGACUACAAGAUGUAAAAAAUUCAGAAUUUUUUUAGCAAGGAAAAAUAGGGUUGUAGUUCAAUGCCAAGAUUGGACCAAAAUUGAAAAAUGGAAGUUGUGCUCAAAAUUUUCAAAUGACCAAAGUGGGGUUUUGAAUAAAAAUGAUCUAUAGGCAUCAAAGGACUUCUAAAAAAAUUUGUGGCAUUUGAAAGGAAUUAUUUGAAAUAGUUCUAGUGCAAAAAGGUCAUUCUAGAGUUUGAAAAUACUAAUAAAAGAAUUUUUUGAGGCCAAAUCAUUAUAUUUUUGUCCAUGUAUGUAUGUAUGAAUGGAUGGAUGGAUGGAUAUGGAUGUAUAUACAAAAUAUUCAUAUAUGAUGUUUUUUUUGUUCAUAGCAUUUUUUUCCAUGUAUGUAUGUUCAUAUAUGCAAAAGUUACAUUUAAGAAAAAAUAAGAAAAUUUUAUUUUUUCUUCUUCUCUUCUAUCUCGAUAACUUCAACACGAGGGGGGAGGGUCGAUAUACCCCCUACCCGAUAACAUUAUUUUCCCAUGUAUGUAUGUCGUCGUUGUCGAUAUAACCCCUUCCCGGAUAACUUCGACAUGAGGGGCGGUCGAUAUAUAUACCCCCUCUCGACCGUGAUAACUUAUACCACGGAGCACCCCCCGGCCCUCUCGCUCGACCAAAACUCUUGAGGACACCCAAACCCUAGAAAAAAACGAUGUCGGUCUCCUACCCCCUCCCGCCGCGCCCCUACCCGAUCGACAAACUCUCUUGAGGCCACCCAAAUUUACCAAGUUAAAAGAGCGUUGUCGUCGAGGCCACCCCGAACCCUUGAAGCGUCGUUGAGGCCACCCCAAACCCUUGAAGCAUUGCCGAGGCCACCCCAAACCCUAGAGAAGCGUCGAGGCCAUGCCACUAAUAUGAUUCCUUAUUGUGCUUAGCUAGCUAGUUCAACGUUUGCCACUAAUAUAUCCAUCUGUCAUGUUUGAAUAAUAAUUGCCAUGUUGUAAAUAUUUGUAGAAACUAUGGAUCCGCACCCCCGAGACGAAGCAAAAGAAGCGGUGUUGGGGGGAUAAUCGCACAUGGAAGUGAUGCCGUAUUGUCGUUUCUCAACGACACAUGCACUGAUGGUCUCGAAAGACAGGAUGAAGAAGCAGGCUACGACGAUGAUCAAACAAUGGAGGAGGAAGGACACCAUGAUGACGGCUCCGGUGACCGAAUGGAGGGGGAAGGACACCAUGAUGACGGCUCCGGUGACUGAAUGGAGGGGAAAGGACACCGUGAUGACGGCUCCAGUGACCGAACGGAGUCCGGCCAGGUAUAUAUUAAUUAAUUAAGCAUGUGCUGACUAUAGCUAAUUGAUGCUUUAAUUGUUUUUGGUAUGUACACAUAUUAACUCUCUUCUUUUUCUUCUUUUCUAGCCCUCCGGAUCGAGCAACACUUCGGUAACGAGACGAGGCCCGGAGAGAAAGUUGCGCACGGAUGAAAGGUACACGAUCAUCGAAAUUGAUCGCGUUGGCCAACCGAUUGAACCCCUCCGGACCAAGCAAAAAUUUAAUGCUCAGUGCGGGGUUGUAGUUAGGGACAUGAUCCCGAUCAGCAUCGAGCAAUGGUUAAAUCCUAAGGACAUAGACUCUCAGGUGCCUUAUGUCAGCGAUAGGCAGAAAGCUGAUCUUUGGACCACGUUGCAGGAAAAUUUCACCUUCCCGCCAGAGGAAGAUCCGGAGAAUCCAGUUAAAAAGCCAAUGAUUAAGGCUUAUGCUCUUUGGAAGAUGGCUGAGCUAUUCAGGAGGUGGAAGAAUGAGCUGAAAUCAUCGUUUGUCGACCAAGACAAGACUCAAGAAUUCAUCGGCCGAUUUGAGAAGAUCAAAGAUCAGUGACCCGCAUUUUUCACCAAAAAGAAAUCUGAGAGAGCAGCGAAGAUGUCAGCGACAACCAAGAAAAAUGCUGCAAAGAAGAAGCAUCACCAUCGCACGGGGUCAGGUGGCUACCUGAAAGCCCGGCCGUUGUGGGACAAGGCUGAGAAUGACCUCAUUGAUAAAGGGAUCGAACCAGAGACGCGAUGCUGGCCAGACCGUUGCAGGACUUGGUUCUUCGGGGUUGGGGGAAAAUUGGACCCUGUAACAGGGAAGUGCGUUUGGACCAACGAGCAGCUGAACACACCCAUCAAGAAGCUUCAGGAGUAUAUCGAAAAAGCGCAGCAAGGGACGUUCGUUCCGGACAGAGAGAACGACGAGCUCACAGAGGCCCUCGGGAAUCCUGAGCACCCCGGGCGGUCACGAGGCACGCCAGGCUCCCUUUCGUGGAAGGCUGGAUUUCCCGACGUAGGCGGUUACAAACGCCAAGAGAGGAAGAAGAAAAAGGAGUUGACCCAACUACACGCGUUGCACGCAAAGGUACAAGCGCUAGAGGAACGAGACGCAGUUCGCAGCACACGACCUGCCGAAGCUACACCCGAAGCUACCCCGCCAUCUCAGCGGAGAAGCAGCGUGGCUUCCACGGAACUGCUUCAGGAGCCUGUCUUCACGGCUCCUGCUAGCUACCCCGUGGAUACUAUCACGGAGUCUCAGCAUUGCCACCUUAUGACGCAGUGGAUGGAAUUGAAAGUCAAGACGGCUGUUGGCUCUGUUGCACCUCCUGAACCUGGCGCAACUUUUCACUGCCGGCUGAUUCCAGAAGGAUAUGCUAGGGUGAUGGUGGAUGAAAUCACAGAAGGAUUUGAGGACCUCCAGCUUGACCACCCUACGGGUGACGGGGAGACUCGGCUGGGUUCUUGUCUGAAGACUCCAUGCCUAUGGCGGAAGGAGCUCAUCAACCUUCCGAACUGGACGCCUCCGCCUCCUCCUCCUCCUUCGGCGAGUCAGGGCACUCCGCCUCCUCCACCGCCUCCUCCUCCGGCGAGUGAUCAGGUCACUCAGCCUCCUUCUCCGGCGCGUGGCGGCACUCCGCCUCCUUCUUCGCCUGCGCCGGCGCGCCCGAGCAGCCACCAGCCUCCUCCUUCUCCGCCUCGCCAGCAAGGGCGGAAGAGACCCGCCGCCACCCCGGCUGCUCCGGCGCGUCGCAGUCCUUCUCCUCCGCCUCGUAAGCAAGCACGAAAGAAGACAGCCGCAGCCGAUCCGUCUGCUCCGGCGUCUAGUAGUACAACCAGAGGCGGGAGGCAAUAGAGAUACGGUUCACCUCUCCAGCCUCUAGAGAAGUUACCGUACGAGAGGACCGAGGAGAAAAACGCGAAGAUCGUGCAGACCGAAGUGAAGGACUUCUUUGAAGGGGUGAAAGCAAAGAGACAUCCACCUCUGGAGGAGAAGGUAGAUCCGGUGAAAGCAAAGCGCACUAUCGAUGCCCUGAGGAAACCACCAAAGUCUCCGCAGAAAACCAACUAUGAGCGCGUUACUGAAAAUGUAUAUCACGAAGCGGAGCGGUCGGGAAGUACUGUCAGUGAUCAAAGGUUAAAAGAACGACGAGCAGCUGGGAAAAAAAUUGCCCAGCUCGGCGAACAAGCAAACCAAUCGUGCCCCCCUCUCAAUGUGUCUAGCGACAUCGUCGCUAAUGAUCCGGGGAUGGUGCCCGGUUAUAGCAAUCUUGGAGAUUACAUGCCCGACGAUGUACAUUAUGAUUUCUUGGAGGUGAACGAACACAGAUACGAGUACGGGAAGCCUCUCGUCAAAGAUGAAAAAUCUCCAACAACGAUGAUGCGAAAAUUCCAUGAUUGGUACAUGAAAACCUGCAGAGAGUCUGGGGGGCGAAUACUUUGUAUCUGAGAGUUAAAGAGGAGCACGACCUCGUUGGAAUUGAUCUGUUGCAUGUUCCAUUUGAGGAGUUCUUCCAGUUCUUCAAUCAAAAGGCCCUUGAUAAAUUAACGGUCACUUGCUACUAUCUGUAAGUACUACUUCUGUCAUUAAGUCUCUAUAUAUAGCUCAGCUCUUUCAUUGCAUUUAUUUAUAAUUAUCCUCACUAUAUUAUGCAGAUUGAAGAUCGUCGAGUGCAGAAAAGCAGAAAUGUAUGAUAUUGGGUUCAUUAACACAAAUCUCAUAGAUGAAUUUCAGGUUAAAAAGAGCGCCAGAGAUGCCGAGGCCAACUUGCUCAAAUCAUUGAUAAUAAAUCAAAACAAAGAUUUAAUACUCUUUCCUUACAACUGCAAGUGAGUGUUACUGUCGUGUGCAUAUUCGGUUUCCCUUAUUACUCGAGCGAGGUUAUAGUAAUGUAAUUGAUGAGUUAUGCAUGUGUGCGCAGCUUCCACUAUAUUCUCCUGGAGAUUAAGCUUGAGCGGGGACUAGUAACCGUCUUAGACUCGAGAUGAAAAGAUCCCGGGACCUAUGCAGACAUGACUAAAAUUCUCAACAAGUAAGUUCAAUCGAUCAUUAUCGCACCAUAUCGGCAACUUUUUGUUCAUUUCCUGAUAUCUCAAGUAAUAAUUAUUUUCUUUGUCUUGCAGGGUUUGGAAACAGUUCACCGCAGAAGCUCCGGGACUGCCGAAGGAGCUGUGAUAUACAUACCCGAAAGUAAGUACUACUAGCUAGCUAGUUGCGCGCAUCUCCCGUUGAUUCUAGCUACUUUCAUCAAUGCCAUUUAUAAUGCUUCAUUAUCAGUUUGAUUGACCUCUAUUUCUCGUAAAGUGCUUGUGGCAGGAACAAGGGAAUGAUUACUGUGGAUACUACGUGUGCGAGUUCAUCUACAACGUGACUUGCAAAGAUAAGCGGGGCUACUCUAAAAGACAAUAUGAAGUGCGUAAGCAAUAAUAUUCACAAUUUCAUUUUAUUACACCAUCAUUUCUGUUGAGUUUCAUUCAUAUAUAUGUAUUAACCCCCUUCUUCAAAUUAGACGUGGCAGAUGCGGAAUGAACUCCUACCACAAGAUCACAUGAAAGCAAUUCAAGAGGAAUUGGCGGGAUUCUUUCUUGACCACGUCAUCAAUAAAGCCGGAGAAUACCAUGUUGAAGCUGACUUCAUAUAUAAUUAGGGGAGAUUAUAUUGUAAGAGAUCUUAAUAUUGUAUAUAUGUAGCCAGUAGCGUCGGAUAGAUAUACGAAAACUUGUUGUUCGCGCAAUCUCUUGGAGAAGUAGAGGUCGAUAUCACUUCUCUCGGUAUGCAUGACAAACUUCUGUACUUAAUGGCUUUCCUUCAUUUGCUUACUAGCUAGCGUGUCGAGGGUCUCUCUAUACGUAUAGUACGUAGCGUCGACCAAGCACGGUGAUAAGAGAGGACAUUUCUCUUUAUUAAUUAAUUAGCUACCUAACACAGUAUAUGAAACACCUUAAUUAACCAUACAAAACCCCCAAAUCCACCCCCCUUUCAGAAAAAAAAACCCUAGCCCCUGAACAGCUGACGCGUGGAUGCCUAUUGGUCCCGGUUGGUGCCACCAACCGGGACUAAAGGGCCUCCUGCCUGGGCUCGCAGCACCGGUCACGUGGAGGUCCAUCUGUCCCGGUUCGUGUAAGAACCGGGACUAAAGGCCUAGGCAUUAGUAACGACCCUUUAGUGCCGAUUCUCCAACCGGGACAGAUGGGUCUUAUGAACCGGGACAGAUGACUCUUUUUCUAUUAGGGUCCCCUCGCUACUUGUAGAGACCAGUGGCCGAGCUAGGCCUCGACACUGGUGGAUGAAGGCCGCGGCGGGCAGGUCUCUGCUCUAGCAGCUUUCGGCAGCGAGAUGCGAUCAACGGAUGGCGACUUGAGUUAGAGCGUAUGGUUAUCCAGCGAACUAUUGUACUUGUCAAGCCGCCACGAACACAUACAUACGUGUCGAGGACACAUUUAUAGUACUGCACGGAGGUACAUACUAUGCAGGAUGUCUCGUCAAAAAAGAAAGGUGGGAUAAAUUAGUACAAAGUUGAGCCACUUAUUUUAAAAUUGAGGGAGUAUAUGUUGUGCCUAUGGGGUAAAGCAGCAACCAUAUAUAUGUACGCUUUUUGCUAUGUUGUUGUUGCUAUAGUGUCUGCCCAUGAAAUCUGAAUGACCGGGAUGGAUUUCAUACCAAAUCUUGGACGAAAUCUGCAAGUGGAGAGGAAGAGAUUUCGACAACAUAAUUGUUUAAGAUUUGUCAAAUUUCAAAUGAAAUUUAACCUAAUUAAGAUUUGGUCUGAGAUUAAUUUAAAUCUGGCCUGAAAUUUUGAGGUUACUGAAAAAACCUACUCCAUUAUGACAUUUUGCCUAGUCAGACACGUCUAUAUGCUCAAUGCGAGCACUAUGUGGGCGUCACCGGCCCCAUGCCAGAGGUCAUAGGCGCAGUUUAUUUUCCUGAAAUUUGCAUAGAAAAUAUGUAAAUUUCAUUAUUUUUUGAUAAAGAUUUCAAAAAAAUGUGACAAUUUUGUGUACAUACCUAAAAAAAUUCACAUGUAUGUAAAAGGUCCACACAUCAGAUAUACCUAAAAGAUUUAUCUCCAGUGUCUUGUUUAUCUUGACAUACAGUCUAUUCACAUCAUCAAGAAUGUCCACUAUAUAAAAUACUUUUUCGCUAACUCUUCAUGCACAUGCUUCCACUAACUCUUCAUGCGCAUGUAGCAUGCAGCCUGACACAAAUAACCAUUAACUAUUUCUUUUGUGCACUCUCAAGCAGCCAUGUCUUCCUAGAUAUUAUUUUUUUGCUAUUUGUAUAUGUCUUCACAUCAUCCUCAAACGUCCAACAUGAGUCCCUGUCCAACUAUUUGGUUAGACUACACUUGUUGUUAAUGAGAUCGUCUGAUUCCAAAAGCCCAAAUGACCAUCUUUUCUCAUUCUCUUGUGCUUCCUGUCCAUAUCUUUUGCUCCCAUAACAUAUAAAAAAGGGAAACAUAUAGGUACCAAUAGAAGGCUUCGAGCGCUAACGACUAUGAAGUAAAAUAAUUACUUCCACUGGUAUAUAUUGCAUAUCAUGAAAGUCAUUAUAAAGGCAUAAUUAUACAAAAUGAAACUUUAGUUAUCAAAUAAGAUAUUAAAUCAUGUAUAUGAGAUUAUAUGAUUAAAAUGGUGAUUAUAAGAUACAUGUACACAACGAUAAACAAUCAUUGAAGAAAUAUAUUGAGGUGCCUUGCNNNNNNNNNNNNNNNNNNNNNNNNNNNNNNNNNNNNNNNNNNNNNNNNNNNNNNNNNNNNNNNNNNNNNNNNNNNNNNNNNNNNNNNNNNNNNNNNNNNNNNNNNNNNNNNNNNNNNNNNNNNNNNNNNNNNNNNNNNNNNNNNNNNNNNNNNNNNNNNNNNNNNNNNNNNNNNNNNNNNNNNNNNNNNNNNNNNNNNNNNNNNNNNNNNNNNNNNNNNNNNNNNNNNNNNNNNNCUAAGUUAAAGAGAAACCUGCAAGUGUUGCAGGGGAAUCCACCGAAAAGCCGUGACAGGUCGCGGCACAGUAGGCACUAGUAGGGAAAAGCCUAAUAGCGGCGUUUAAAAAAUGUCAUUACAGGCGUAGAGGGAGAUGCCGGUAGUAUAACGUCGCUGAGAAGGCGUUACUACCGGCACGGCAGGUAGACGAUCUUAACAAGAUCGACUAUGGAAGCAGAACUCACAGCAUUAGACACAUCAUGCGUCGAAGCAGACUGGCUUCGAGAGCUUUUGAUGAAUUUGCCAGUGGUUGAUAAGCCAGUCCCGGCUAUCCUUAUGAACUGUGACAAUUAGAUAGUGAUUGCCAAGGCAAAGAGUUCAAAGGAAAACAUGCAAUCCACAAAACACAUAAGAAGAAGAUUGAAAUCUGUUCAAGCAUUCAAGAGACUCCCGAGUAAUAGCAUUGGAUCAUAUCCAGACGGCUAAGAAUAUGGCAGAUCCCUUUACGAAAGGGCUAUCGCGAAUUGUGAUAGAAAAUGCAUCAAGGGGGGUGGACAUGAGACCCACAUAAGUUGUCAUGGGGGUAACCCAACCUAUGUGAUCGGAGAUCCCAUGAAUUAGGACAUGGGAUAACAAUUCAGCUGGCAACCGAGGAAAGUAUCCUUACUAACCCACCCUGUUGGAGAUGCAAUACUCUCGUAAUCUGUAAGGUAGCUUGACUUCUGUCUUAAUGUGUUCCAAAGAUUAUGUGAGCAAGAUGCUAUCCUAUGAAGCAUUCUUUGGAGGAACGUACCUAUAUGAGCCCGAUUGCUAGUCACAGUCUAUGAGAUAGGGUAAUCUCUAGGGAGCUCAUGAACAGGUCAGGAGCAUGACUAAUAAGCUCCACUCGUGGGGUUUAGCCUUCGGUAGCCACAUACCAGCUGCAAUAGGCAAAACUUCUGCAUGCUAAACAGACAAUUCAAGGCAUAGUCCAUUGUUCAGAUGUGAAGAAGUCUAAUCUUGUUGCUCGGUGGAAGUUCAACUUAACAGUCUCCACUGAAAAUUCUGAUAUAUCAAAAUAUUGUUUGAAAAAGAUGACAAACUUAAUGUGCCACGAGAUCUAGUGGGGGAUUGCUGAAUCAUAGAUGGGCUUUGGGCACAUAUCUCUACUCCUAUAAAAUUCUUAGUUCGUGAUGAUGGUCUGUCUGCCAUCUGUCAUUUCUGACCAAGAUCUGCAUCUAAUGACUGUGAGGUAAGUUGUGGCCUUUUUGCAACAAUAGCCCACUUCUCUGCUCCAAUUUGCAGAAAACCCCUUAGUAUCUUGAAACCAACCCCAUGCCUCCCUCACCUCAUCAAAACAGCUCGAAUAAUAUAUUUUAAGUGAAACAUAAUAUAUUUUUUGUGAACAAGUAUUAUUCUAUUUUGGAUUCGUUGCAACGCACGGGCACAUUGCUAGUGAACAAUAAUUCCUGAUUAAUCUUGAGGCCCAUGUAGGUGUAUUGCAAGUGGUGAAAAGUUUAGUACCACCUUGCUAGUUGAGAAGAAUUGAGACCCUUUUAUAAGGGUUGCACUACCACUUGCCAUUGGAAGCUUGAAAAGAGAAGUGAUACACGCCCGCUCCUCCUCUACCGCCCGUCUCGCCACGACGCGGGUUGCGGGAAUGAGCCAAGCUCACACCUAUGUGCUUUAUUUUUGCCAGUCAUGGGAUACGCUGGCUCACUUUCCCAGGGUGCGACAACUCCCUUGCCGGGCGUGCGUCGACACGAUGGUGGGCCUAAGCCCAGGUCCAUGACUCCCUACUUGACGGCCUAUAUAAUGCAAGAGUUGGCCAGUGUAGUCGAUAGACUCACUCUCUCCUCGUGCAACUCUAGUCGUCAUCUACUGCUCCUCUCAGUGUGCUGCUUCCAGCAAUCCCAUCCCGACAACCGCGUGCAGAGUCGGUCGAGAGAGAGGUGCCUCCGAAACCCCGUCCUUCGAGAUCCUGCCCGGGAGAAGGGCGAUAAGGUUUUUGGGAAGCGUCUUUGCGUGACUGCUCCGAUCCUUCCCCGUCUCUGCCCUCCUCUAUUUCGACCACUUCCCCUGCAUGAUCCCAUGGCGAACGACGACAAAGCCGCCAAGAAGAAAGCCACGAUCGACGCCAAGGCUGCUGCUACCGCCGCUACGUUGGCCUGGCCAACCGGAGGGUAUGACUUGUUCAUCACCUACUAACUUGUUCACAUGUUUAGCUAUCACCUAUCGGUAUGAGUUGCAUACUCUCACAAAAAAAGGUAUGAGUUGCAUACUGUGAAUCUCAUGCUUAAUCUUUACUUGUGGAGCAGAUGCGAACGCGUACUGCAAAUCUGAGAAAGUCUACGCAACAAGCUUCAUUAUAUGCAAAGUCACGCGUGUAUACGGAACCGGAAAAGGGCAAUGAAGCUUUGUUGGUGGCCACAGGUGAUAAAAUGGAUCUGUCACUCAAGCAGGCUUAGAAAAAAUCAGCCCUACGAAAUGAUACAGAUUUUCUUACUGGCAUGCAAUGCCAAACUCAAGAAGCAGCUAAAUAAAUGUAGCAGCAACAGAACGUGCUAAUGCGGCAAAAUUUCGUGUUUUGACCCUUUUGUUAAACAAAAUCGAGAUCUGACCCCAAUUUGAAAGUUUUUCGAGAUUUGACCCUUUCCCCUACCGCCACGAGGCACGGCGGUAGGAUCAUAUAGCCUACCGCCGAGACCUGCGGCGGUAGCAAACUUGUCCACGUCGGCAACGAUAACGGCCUCCGUGCCCCCUCCGUCACACCCUACCGCCGCUCCACCCGGCGGUAGGAUGUCUGAACCUACCGCCGGAGUCUCUGGCGGUAGGGUGUGGGCAUAUAUAAACCACGGGCCGGCCGCCCCCACCCCCUUCUCCCCCCCACCCAGCCGUCCCCCACCACGAAGAACAGAGCAGUUGCUCCAACUCGCCCUCUCUCAUCCCCUCCACUCCCCCCUCCGAUCUUCUUCGUUUCUUGACGGAUUUUGCGGAUCGAGAUGGCCCCGAAGAAAGAAAAGUAAGCUCUUUCAAUCCCUCCAAUAAGUUUUAAUCAAACACCUUUCGAUUCGUCGCAUUAUUCGAUUCAAAUCACUCCUAUUUGAAAAAAAAAUAACCCUAGGAUUGAUUUAGGUUGAUUCUAGAUGUUAUAUUGUGUUAGAUAUGAACUAUAUUGAAUAGUUGGUAUGGUUGUGUUAAGAUGAACCCUAGUUCAUAAUUGAUUUGAAUGGUUUUUUUUAUAUGAUGGAUGAUGCAUGUUCCUAUGCUAUGAUGCAAGUAUUGGAUGUAGUGUAUGAUGAAUAUUGGAGAUGAAUAUUUGAUAUAUUUGUUAUAUGUAGUGUAUGAAUCCUCAAGAUGAACCCUAGUUCAUUUUUUUGUUUUUUAACAAAAAAAUGAGAUUAUGCAUGUUGGAUGUUGUUGGAGAAAUAUGUGUUAUGAUGCAUUUGAACCAUGGUGAUUGCAUCUUCAUAAAAGUAUUUUAUUUAGUUCUUGAUAUAUGUAUUGUAUUUACUUCAUGUUCAUAAUAAUCUUGAUAUAUGAUUAUUCAAAGAUUGAACUCAUAGGUUCUGUUGGAUGUGAUUAACUUUUGUUAUGCAUCGAUAUGUUUCGUAGUUAAUGUUGAACCCUAGUUCAUGUUGAAAAAUCUUUUGAUAUGCUUAUGCAAUUCUUUUAGGAGGCCACCUCUUGCGGACGACAUCGGCACGAAGUACACAAUGCUUGACCCUAGGUUCGACAAGCGUCACCGUGCCCGUUUCAUUGAGAAUGGAGUGGUAAUUACCAUUUUAAAUCAAAUCUUUCGAAUUGAUGAAAACAAGUUGCUAACUAUUAUGUCCAUGCUAAUUAUGCUUUGGUUAUUGAUUUUCACAGAUGCUGCCGCCACUGCGGAUGAGGGCUCACAAGACGACGGUUAGGAUGGAGUACGACGAUCGGUACGCAUCGUUCUUCAGGAGAGCCCGACUAUUGGGUUUCGUCCUGCAGUUCAAGCGUAAGCCGCCGACGCUCGUUCACUCAGCUCUCACGGUUUUGAUCGACCGGUGGCGGCCAGAGACGCACAACUUUCAUCUUCCAUGUGGGGAGAUGACUGUGACCCUCGAGGAUUGGGCGAUGAUUACGGCACUACCGCUCGAGGGUCGUGCUCUCACAGGAAGAGUGGAGAGGGCGAACUGGCACAAGAGGGUUGUUAGCCUUAUCGACGACUGCCCCCCUGCUAAGAGCAACCGGACUUCUGGCAUACCGCUGUCAUGGCUCCUCGAGCACCGGAGCAAGUGCCCGGAAGAUGCCGAGCCCCGGGUGGUGGAGCAGUACGCCAGGGCCUACCUGUGGUACAUUCUCACGGAGUAGUGUUUCCGGACUGCUCCGGGAACUCUGCCCUAUGGAUGUAUCUCGACUUCCUAAAGGACUGGGAUGCGGGGUACAGCUGGGGGGCCGCCAGACUCGCCUACCUAUACCGUUCGGUAAGUGAAUAUCACUUUCUUUCAAAUAUCAGACGUGUGCUGCUUUACAUUUUGACAUCUUAUCAUCUGAACAUGGUUUGUAGCUUGACGACGCGACCCAGAGAGCGGAAGUCACGUCCGGUAUGUGUGGAUGUGUAUGGGGCCUCUCCAUUUGGAUGUGGGAGCGAAUCCCGGUGGGCCGUCCGGAGAAGCUGCGCUCGCGUGCAUGGACGGACUAUGGCCAAUAUGACGAAGAUGAUCGGAACCCGACCGUCGCAUACGCUUGGGACGUGGUGCGUGCCUACACGGGCGAAUCGAAGGCCUUGUACAAGGUCUUUAGCAACGAGCUUGAUGCUCUCACGCCUUUCCAGGUAUAAGAACUACAUUUUGACUUGAGCUUACCAUUGUUUCGAUAACACUUUCACUUGAGCCUAUCAUUGUUUGGUUAUAGGUUACUUGGCGGCCGUAUAGUGAUGAUCGAGAGUGGGGGUUCGAGCUGAACAGCAUGUGCAAGCAGGACCGGCUUCUCUUCCGGUGCAUCGUACCCAUGAUUUGUGUCUAUGCCGUGGAGAACCACUUGCCACAAUGCGUUGCCGCACAAUUUGGUAAGGCGCAACACACACCACCAGCCGGCCACGAUACCGGUGGCUACGACCUACACCUGUGAGUACCACAAGCCGUCCUCAGCGAUUCUAAGUUCUUGUUUUGAUGCUUUAAAUUCAUAAAAGAAGGGUGUUUUACAUUCUUUCUUAUGCAUUGCAGGAUGAGCAGGCAGAAGAAUCAAUCAAUCACGGAUUGGGAAGCCGAACAUGCGAGAUACGUGAAGGAAUGGAACGAGUGGAAAGGACGCAAAGACACGGAGAGGAGAGUGAUUGACUGGGACGAGUACGAGGAUCACAUGUUGUGGUACGAUGAUGGCAUCAAGCAUCGUCUGCGUUUGAGGCCCCAGUGGACGACAACAGAUGCCGAAGACCUGUUCGAUGACGCCUCAGAGAAUGAAGCCUACAACGAGAGCAUCAGACAGCUUCAAGGCGGGUUUAGGGAGUACGAACCCCUCAUGAACAGAGUGGUAUGUUGUUUUUACCUCUUUGGAACCGACGGUUGGAUGAAAUCAGCUUUUCGUGCUAUUGACUCAUUUUAUUACUGUGCAGUCUUCGGAGCUGAACAAAAUAAUUUUUCAUGCCUCUGAUGCGCUUAGUGCUGUCCCUGGGACUCGAGCUAGUGAGAACAAGUUGAGGGAAACGGUGAAGGUAAUACGGAGUUCAUUUUCGUUAUCAUUGGACAUUCGAGAAGUUCAUAUUGUUUCGUUAUCAUUGCAGAAAUACGUCAACAAAGCACGCCGGCUUGUGGGCCUGCUUGGGUGCACUACAAACACCGAGGAUGUUUUUCCUCCUGCACUGAUGUGUAGCCUCGCUUCAUCGAGCCAUGCAGCCUCGUCGUCUAGGGCGGUUCAAGAUGACGAGGAGGAGAACGAUGACGAUGAUGAUGCAAAGGAAGAUGAAGAAGAGGGCGCAGAAGAAGAACAUGGUGAGGAAGAGGAAGAGGACGAUGAGGAGGAGGAGGAGUACGAUGAUGACGAUGGACCUCCAGCAACUCAGCCAACCCAGCGUGAGAAGAGGAAUGUGCCGAAGAAGGAUUGGAAGAGUCCAUCCCCAUUUCAGAAAGCACGUCCUACGACCCGCAAGAAGACGGCGGCCGAGAAGCGAUCCAAGGAUAACGAGGACCGAAAGUCGAAGAGGGGAAGGAAGGACUGAAGUUGCUGCCGUGUCGUUGAACUAAAAACUUGCAUAUUUGCUUCGUGAACCUUAUGAAUUUGCUCGUGAAACUGUUUCGUUAAUUUGCUAUGUAUAACUUAUUUGCUAUGUAUCGAACCUACCUUAUUUAUAGAUUUGCUAUGUAUCGAACCUACCUUAUUUAUAGAUUUGUGGUGUGUGCAUCAUAUAUCAUACAUUAUGUGCUUCAUAUGACAUACAUACGCUGUUUAAAUGUUGUCUGCCAAAAAUUGAAGACAAAAGAAGUUAGAAGGUGCAAAAAAUGCACACUGGGCCACCCUACCGCCACACACAAAGGCGGUAGGUCUGUACAUCCUACCUCCAUCAGACCCGGCGGUAGGGUGCCUCCCCCCACGCCCCCCUUCUUUGACCAAAAAAUCGAGCAGCGUAGCGGUAGGGUUGCACACCCUACCGCCAGGGCGCUUGGCGGUAGGGUGUGCAACCUUACCGCUGCGCNNNNNNNNNNNNNNNNNNNNNNNNNNNNNNNNNNNNNNNNNNNNNNNNNNNNNNNNNNNNNNNNNNNNNNNNNNNNNNNNNNNNNNNNNNNNNNNNNNNNNNNNNNNNNNNNNNNNNNNNNNNNNNNNNNNNNNNNNNNNNNNNNNNNNNNNNNNNNNNNNNNNNNNNNNNNNNNNNNNNNNNNNNNNNNNNNNNNNNNNNNNNNNNNNNNNNNNNNNNNNNNNNNNNNNNNNNNNNNNNNNNNNNNNNNNNNNNNNNNNNNNNNNNNNNNNNNNNNNNNNNNNNNNNNNNNNNNNNNNNNNNNNNNNNNNNNNNNNNNNNNNNNNNNNNNNNNNNNNNNNNNNNNNNNNNNNNNNNNNNNNNNNNNNNNNNNNNNNNNNNNNNNNNNNNNNNNNNNNNNNNNNNNNNNNNNNNNNNNNNNNNNNNNNNNNNNNNNNNNNNNNNNNNNNNNNNNNNNNNNNNNNNNNNNNNNNNNNNNNNNNNNNNNNNNNNNNNAUUUUCUCAUCUCCUCCACUUCCCCACUCCGAUCUUCUUCGUAGAUUCACGGAUUUUGCGGAUCGAGAUGGCUACGGAAAGAGGAAGGUAAGCUCCUUCAAUCCCCCAAUUAGUUUGAGUCAAAUCAAUCCGCUUUCUUAUAGCAAUAUGAGGAACCCUCUCUAGUUGAUAUGAUGAACCCUAAAACCUAGAUGAUUGCAAUGUGAUGAACCUAGUUGAUGAACCCUAGGUUUAGUCUUUCUUAUAGCCAUACGAGGAACCCUCUCUAGUUGAUAUGAUGAACCCUAGAACCUAGAUGAACCCUAGGUUUAGUCUUUCUUAUAGCCAUAUGAGGAACCCUCUCUAGGUUAUAUGAUGAACCCUAGAACCUAGAUGAACCCUAGAACCUAGAUGAACCCUAGGUUUAGUCUUUCUUAUAGCCAUAUGUGAUAAUUUAUUGUGUGAAUAUUGUAGAUAUUUGUUUUGCUAUAUAUCUCCAUUGAUUUAGGUGGAAUCUACCUAUAUCUGAUGAAUGCUUGCAUUAGAACAAAUAUUGAUGUUUAAUUAACUUUAUCCAAUCAAUGCUUAUAUAAGGAAAAUGGCGCCACCACCACCACUUGAUGAGGAUGAUGACUAUGAAGACCCACUUAAGGAAGCCAUCUGUGCUCAAAGAGUGAGGCUGAGCGAUCAGGAGGUGUGCAACCUAUGGGACAACUUUCUGCCACGUGCUCACUUGGUCGGGGUGCCAUUCAUGACCCGUCUGACAAGUACCAUGAUCGAUCGACAUGUCAUGGUAUGUUAUUAGUGUAGAAUCCAAGGAACUGUUAAUAAUUUAGAUAAUCCAUACUUAUUAAUUGAUAUGCUUUUCUUAUUCAGAAAUUGCCAAAGAGCCUAUCUGAGAGUUGUGGCAUCGAGGCUGAUGAAGAAGGCUAUGCUCGAAUACGCCUUACCGCAAGGGGCCCCAUCACUACUUGUGCGUACGGCGUGGACACACACGGUCACACGCACUUAAGCUCGGUUGGGUGGAAGAGCUUCCUCGUUGACAAGAAUCUUCAUGUUGGACAGGCCAUCCUAAUUACUAUCAGGAACACCAACCGUCAAGGCUUGAAGAUGAUGAUCGUCAUCGAUAUCAUCUAAACUAUAUAUGCAUGUGGCUGCUGAUGAUCGUCAUGUUUGAUUGCUACCUAUGGAUGAAACCUUUUAUCUUGUCGAUGACCGUUGAACUUGUUAAACUUCUUAUGUUGGCUUCGUGAAACUAUUUGGAUGUGAUCAAACUAUGUUAUUUUGUACUUGUUUCUUAGUCCGUAAUGGCAAAACUAAUUGGAUGUGAUCAAACUUCUUAUGUCUAUGAAAUUGUGCUUAUUGUUUCUUAUGUCUAUGGCAAAAAAAUUGAAGACAAAAUCAAAGCAGUUAACUUCAUGCCACUAUGAUAACCUACCGCCAGGGCUCUUGGCAGUGGGUUUGUGCUGACUACCGCCAUGGACUAUGGCAGUAGGUCCGUAAGCAGCCGUUAACGGCUUAACGGUCGUCAGCCACACCUACCGCCAGAACCUGCGACGGUAGACUGUGCAACCCUACCGCCUAAAGGUCUGGCGGUAGCAAAAGGGUCAAAUCUCGAAAAACUUUCAAACUGGGGUGAGAUCUUGAUUUUGUUUGACAAAAGGGUCAAAACACGAAAUUUUGCCGCUAAUGCAAGGCGAGCGAAGGUUCUAUCUUCCCGGUACAGCCUAAGAUUAUUUCACUUCACCUUUGAAUCACUUUCCAGUACAGACGAAGUCACCACCAACGAAUUUGGACAGAACUAAGUUGGAACCGAUUUCACCGAGCAUCUUAACCAUCUUCUGCUACCGCCUAGCUAAACUGGUGGUCCACUGACAUCCCAGCGUUUUUACCCCUUGUGUGGGGUGGGUUUAUAUACACAAUCUGGGCUGUGAAACAACAGGAACCAAGGAUUCAUCGUUUUAUAAGGUGGACGUGAGCUUGCAUGCGUAACUGUGCGAGGAAAUUCAGCCAUGCCUGAUGGACCAACCCAGCAUUUCCCCUGCCAUCAUCUUAAGUGCGAGAAGAGCUAGUUGGAUGGAGGUCCAGAUCCACCCAUGCGCCUCCUGAGCCGGCCCCGAGUCAACCGAAUAGCUUCCUGGAUGAGGGUCUCCUCGUCUUCAGGCAUUGUUGGGCGGGGUGGCACAUUGCUUGUCGAAGGCCCAGAUUGAUCAACCAGCAUGUCUUCACUGUUUGGGGGGCUGUUGCCGGCGAUAGGGCCAGAACCGGAAGGUGUUUGUUGCUGCACAGGAGGCACUGCGCCAGGAGGGGCAACUGGAACUGGGCCCUUAUCUUGCACCUGCAUCCUUGGUGGAGUAGGAGGAACUUGGGCGGGCUGUGGUGGCAUCGGUGGUGCGGUUGGUGCAGGAACAGGUGGUGGUGCAGGAUUCGCCAUCCGAGUACGUGGAGGUGGUGGACGCUGCUGCUGUUGCUGUGCCUGUAUAGAGAGAGACAGUAAAGUAAGUACAUGAGACAUAUACAGCUGACACUGACACACACACGCACAAGCACACAAUACUAGGUAAGUUAAUGCGUUCAAAAAAACCAUCUGACUCUGAAUCCUACAACUGGUAAACAGAAAGCCCAUACUGCACUCUCGACAAAUGCACACAGAACUUCUGUACAUGAAUAAUCCUAACCCUUCCUAACAAAUGGUAUGACAAAAUGGUGCAGCUGUUAUCACAUUCCAAUAUGAAAAUUAUAUAUUAUACGUGCUUCUCAGGUCACUAACUCUAACAAAGGAUGUAACAAGAAUGGAAGUGCUAUUCAUGCAAGGUGAUACAAACUGUGGAACUAUAGAUCAAACUUUGCUAGAAGUACAAGGAGUAUGGAGCAAAAUUAAAUUGCAGGUCGUCAACUUGAUCACUGUCAGUAAACGAUCAAAUAUCCAUGUUGUCUUUAACAAGUUAUGUAAAGCAUCAAUCAUGACAAGGUAAUUCUAGACAAGUUUGCUUUUGUAUGUGUGCCCAAACAAAUAGUAAGAGCUAAGCAACCUAGAGGUUGAGGACACCAUGAUAAUCCUAUUGUGAUAAUUCUUGCAAGAAAAUUGGUACAGAAGUAUGGUAGAUGAAUGGCAUGAUACUACAAAAUCAUUGCUAGCUAACUUUGUCCACACAAAUGCCACAAUUAACCACAACUCAGGCUCCUAAGCUGUAAAAUAAACCAGAGAAACAAAUGCCAUUUCCUACCAAGUACCAACAGAGAUUACUGAAUAGUGAUAAAUCCAGGUACAAUCCUAAGCCAGUUUGAUUUGGCAGAACAAUUGGGUUUGACUAAAAUGCGCCUUAACUGAUGAAAAGAAAAAGGGAUAAUGUUAUAAUGCAACAAGAUGGUGAUGAGUUGAUGACAUAGCAGAACUUGUGCGACACACAAAUUCUUCAAGGGUGCGACCAGAACAUGCACACAAAUUCAUACAGAGGGUGCACGCAAGGUAGAAUAUUCAACUGAAAACUAGGGGAAAAUAUUUCUAGAAUUUCACAAUAUGGUGUGAAAACACUCUUCAGUAGUAGUGCCCCUAGAAGACCAGAGCAAAUUUCCCAACCUAUCGAUAAUUCACAGAAAUUCUCAAAACUAGGAACUUAGAUGCAUAUUCUCUCUAUUAUAAAUGGAAGGUAAAUGCAUAUGCCAGCAAUAUAUGAUCUCUGAGCGUCAUACUAUAUUUCUUUUACCCAAACAUAGGAGUAUUAUUUAACUCCAAUUGUAACUACAAAAGAAAUCAGUAAACACCACUCGUAGACGAGAGGCUGAAUGCAAAAAGUGUUGCGUAAAGGAUCAUAGAAAUGGGUAUUAUUCAUGUUUUUCUAACUAACACUAGAAAUCAGGGCAUAAAUGUGAAUUUAAGAACAUUUUAACAGAAAAAAAACAUG
rnacentral:lncRNA from 1 species